rnacentral:rRNA from 1 species
GAGCGGUAACAGGGGGAGCUUGCUCCCCGCUGACGAGCGGCGGACGGGUGAGUAAUGCAUAGGAAACUGCCCAGUAGUGGGGGAUAGCCCGGGGAAACCCGGAUUAAUACCGCAUACGCCCUUCGGGGGAAAGCAGGGGAUCUUCGGACCUUGCGCUAUUGGAUGUGCCUAUGUCGGAUUAGCUAGUUGGUGGGGUAAGAGCCUACCAAGGCGACGAUCCGUAGCUGGUCUGAGAGGAUGAUCAGCCACAUCGGGACUGAGACACGGCCCGAACUCCUACGGGAGGCAGCAGUGGGGAAUAUUGGACAAUGGGGGCAACCCUGAUCCAGCCAUGCCGCGUGUGUGAAGAAGGCUUUCGGGUUGUAAAGCACUUUCAGUGAGGAGGAAAACCUUACGACUAAUACUCGUGAGGCUUGACGUUACUCACAGAAGAAGCACCGGCUAACUCCGUGCCAGCAGCCGCGGUAAUACGGAGGGUGCAAGCGUUAAUCGGAAUUACUGGGCGUAAAGCGCGCGUAGGUGGUUUGAUAAGCGAGAUGU